UACAGGGGGGGCAAGCGUUGUUCGGAAUUACUGGGCGUAAAGGGUUCGUAGGUGGCCACUUAAGUCAGACGUGAAAUCCCUCAGCUUAACUGGGGAACUGCGUCUGAUACUGCGUGGCUUGAGUGCAGGAGAGGAAUGCGGAAUUCCAGGUGUAGCGGUGAAAUGCGUAGAUAUCUGGAGGAAUACCGGUGGCGAAGGCGGCAUCCUGGACCAUUACUGACGCUGAGGCGCGAAAGCUAGGGGAGCAAACGGG
rnacentral:rRNA from 1 species